AGUGUAACGGUAGGUGGAGUCAGCUCUGCCUUGAGACUCUUCACUUGUCCAGUCUCAAACUCUAAACACCUACUGGAGUGCAGGGCAUCCUGCAGCUGGAUAAGUAACUGAAGAUCUGAAGCCCACCUCUUAAGCGUAAUCCCGCAAUCGAAUGUGGACUUUGAAAUGGGCUUUUGAGGAGAAAAGGACAAGCUGCAGUUUCCCCCGUCUUCUAAUUUCCUCAUCUGCGAAAUAAAACAGAGUGUUUAUAUGUCCAGAGAGUGGUGAGCCAGUGAACUGGGAUGACACAAAGAGAUAACUUAUCUAAUUUGGUUCCCAAACGGGUGGGUUGGAUUUUAGUUAAUAAGUCACCAUCAUAGGAAAAUAUAAGCAGGUCCCUGCUUUCUGAGCAUUUAUGUCUAUUGAAGAUGUACAGUAUCAUGCUUUCCCUUUCUGAGACAUUUCCAAUCUGUAAUAUGUCAAUAAGAAUAAAGCAAAUGGGCAUUUUGUAAGAAGUUGGCAGAGGUGCAGAAUGCAUUUAGGAAUUGGAAUGAGUGCUUGUCUACUGCUUUUCAAAUCAUUGCAUUGGGAUUACUUAUGCCUGUGUUUUUCUUGCUCCCUAGACUGAGCUCCUUGACAUCAGGGGCUCAUUUUUGUUUAUUGGUGUCGUUCCCACUCUUCCUGGUGUCAUGUUUUGCACCUGUGGAUAGUCAAGUAAUAGUUGAAUAGUUGUUCAGUUGAAUCAUUCUGUUGCUUUUAGGAGGUGCAGUUUGAAGACACUGCAGCUAGACUGAAAUCACAUAGCCCAGGAAAUGGGAAAACAUACCGUGAAGAUGGGCUAAUUAAUGAUUUAUUGUACCUUGAAAAAAUUUAAAAAAGUAUAAAUAUUAAUGAAAGUAUUGGUUUUUAAAGCUUAAUGAUGAUCAGCAGCAGAAGAUAAAACUUAAAUGAUACAACUGGCCAGAUGGCAACCAUCUUUAUUAAAAGGCCUGGUCAGAAUAAGAAUCAUUACAUAGAAUUGAAUAUGGGACAGAAUGUUGAGAAUCAAUUAUAGUAGUAAAUAUAACCAGCUUUAUAGCAACACCAAGAAUUACAGUGAAGUGCAAGUACUGCGAAAUAAAAUUUAAAAUAUUGAUUUUCAAGGAUUUAUUUUACAUUUUAUAGUCAAAAUUUAAUGCAAAACAAAAAAGAGCCUGAAAAUCAUACAGUCUUACAACCAAGAAAAA
rnacentral:lncRNA from 1 species